rnacentral:rRNA from 1 species
UACGAAGGGGGCUAGCGUUGCUCGGAAUCACUGGGCGUAAAGGGUGCGUAGGCGGGUCUUUAAGUCAGGGGUGAAAUCCUGGAGCUCAACUCCAGAACUGCCUUUGAUACUGAAGAUCUUGAGUUCGGGAGAGGUGAGUGGAACUGCGAGUGUAGAGGUGAAAUUCGUAGAUAUUCGCAAGAACACCAGUGGCGAAGGCGGCUCACUGGCCCGAUACUGACGCUGAGGCGCGACGGCGUGGGGAGCAAACCGG